GUGUGUGUGUGUGUGUGUGUGUGUUUUAGUAUAUACGCCCAUGUGUGUAGGUGCAUGUACAUAUGUGUGCACAGGCCUCUAUCACUUUCUACCAUGUUCUUUGACACAGGGUCAGAACCUGGAGCCUGUUAAUUAACAGGACUGGCUGGCUGCAAAGCCCCAGAGAUCCUCCUGUCUCCACCUCCCCAGAGCUGGGUUGCAGACAUACACAAGCACUCUGCUCACGGAGUCACCUCCAGGCCUUGCAACUUUGGAGAAGUUCCUUGCUUUGAGGCUGCGAUGUUCUUUUCUGUAACAACAGCCCUUGCAGAUUCCAGUCUUAGUGGUAAGAACCCUAUUACAAUUACUAGAGAAGACUAGAUUCUUCUCUCUGAACAGUCUUAGAGAACUCGAAACGUGUCCUGGGACAGUGGAGUGAAUAGAUGUGUCAGGCCAAACAAUUCUGUGGUCUUUUCUCUACACAGACAAAGUCAGUAACAGGGGAACUGCUGGAAGUUUGUCCCACACACUUUCAAGGCUCCUACCAUUCACUAAUUUCUCAUAGUCAAAGGCUUUAGGCUUUCAGAGGAAGCUGACCUUUUAAAAAUACUAAUAAUAAUUAUUAUUACUAUUAUUAUUAUUAUUAUUAUUAUUAUUAAGGCUGCCUGUGAGCUAUAUUCCAUUGAGGGUACAACUUGGCACAGGGUCUGUACUUUGCCAGAACACUGAAAAGCCCUCCUGAGUGGGUGUGCUCACAGGAUACUGGGUCGGAUGUAGCGAGGGAGAAGACAGGCCCUUCCUUGAUGCGGGAGGCAUGGCAUCACUGAAAGUUGGGAAGGCGGGGCCCUUCAGGCCAAGGAUGGGUGGGUUUGCCUCCUUUCACAGGAAAUGGGUGAAGCCCCGUUAGGAAUUAUUCCUCAGACGUUUUGUACUGUAGAGGAAAUGUCUUCUGAUAGCACAGAGCUAUUGGUUUCCUGUUGUGAACUAGGAAUUUCUGGCUUGCCCAAGAAUGGACAGGAAGGGAAAGGGUAGUUGUCUCUUGAAAGUCCUUGUUUAAUGAAAAUGCUAGUUCAAGGGUUUCCAGAAUACUCCAACUGGCCAGAAGGGAGAUUGGGGGUUGGGGGAAGGUCAUGGUAGCAAGGGCGGUCUUAUGGACAGGCAGGUUUGUGUGACACAUUAGUUUUAAGAAUACUUUCUGAGCAAUUCUAUGUGGUGGGCAUUGUACUAUGAUAGCCAGGUAGACUAGAUGGCUUGGGCAGUCUUCUCCCUUGAAAUAACAAGUAAGUGGUGGACACUGAUAAAAUAACAAAAAAAUAGGUUUUGAGUAAUAUAAGGCUAAGAUGGAGCUAUGGUUAAAGCACUGAGGAACAUAUAAUGUGCUUGGAUGAAUCUUUCCUGUGCACAUACAGCUGGAGAGGCCAGGAGAGGAUAUCAACCAUCCUGCUCUAUCACUCUUCCAACUUAGUUCCUUGAGUCAGAGUCUCUCACUGAACCUAGAGCUUGCCUUUUCUGCUAGGCUGGUUAGCCAACCAGCCCCAGAGAUCUCCUAUCUCAGAUGCGCCCCUCAUUCAGCCCCACACUUCCCCCUGCCCUGGGAUUACGGGCAUGCACAGUCACACCUGACUUUUAUGUGGGUGCUGAGGAUCUAAAUUCAGGGUCAUCUAUUCAGCGUUCUUACCCACUGAGCCAUCUCCCUAGAACCUUUGGAGUAGUCUUUACAUGUUUUGGAUUCUCCUCGCCGCCCUCAUCCCCCACAGUUUAUAAUGAUGUUGGGAAUCAAAAACAGAGAUUGAGGUUUCCUAGAGUGUGAUAUUGAGUACCGAGCACAGUCUAGGUUCUGAAUGCUUUCCACCCAUGUCCUCACCUAGUGUGGUAAGGACACUGGCCCUAAGAAAUAAGUCUCUGGAAUUCAGAAGGUAGCAGUUUACUAGAGAUCACAAUAUGAAAGACACAGAACCAAAUGUGAGCAUCCCUCUUUCCUUUCCUGUCCUCCAUCUCAGACUCCCUUCUCCAGUGUAUUUUGGGAUGAGCAGGUUUGCUACCUACCUUUAGUCGGGUGGGGGCUGACCCAUUCUCUCCUCAAGGUAUGCCAACAGGCAUUUUUCAUUGAUAUUCACAUGAGUCCCAACUUACUGAAGAGUUUGAUUAAUUUUGUAAUUCAGGGGAAUUACAAAAACCAAAGAAAUUCCCAAAAACCCAAAUGAGGGAUAGUCACCAUCCAAUUUCUUUUUCUCCAAAGAAGUUUAAAAAAAUAUCACCAGUCAAUGGUUUGCCAGCAUACCCUAGGAACUGGGUUGCAUCCCCACGCUGAGUCUGCCUUUCUCUUCUUCCAUGUGCCUAGCCCUGAUUUGCUAUGCAGAAGAAUAACUGACUCCUCCUGUGAUCAGUUGCCCCUCUCCUCCCAGGAGAGAAUCACAAGAACCUACAGAGAUGGGCCUUCACUGUGUGCUAACACUGCCUAGAGCACAGCUCUUUCCUUCUUUGUGCUUAUAGGUCUGUGCACACAUCAGACUGUUGAAUGAAAGCAACCAUAUCAUUUUUUUGUUAGUUUGUUUGUUUUUUGAGACAGGGUUUCUCUGUGUAGUUUUGGUGCCAGUCCUGGAUCUCGCUCUGUAGACCAGGCUGGCCUCAAACUCACAGAGAUCCACCUGACUGCCUCCCAAGGCUGGGAUUAAAGGUAUGUGCCACUGCCGCCCGGCAUCACAACCCUAUCUUUUUAUAAAAUAUUGACAACUAACCUUUUUUCUUAGCACUUGAUGGGUGUUCAUGAACAGACAUGUACUCUUCCCUGUGUUUGAAAGAUUUUUGAACAGUGUUUGCCAAGAACCCAAUUCCAUCCUGGGAACUAGGGAUCCAGACAGAUGCUAAUAGAAUGUGACUGUCUUAGGGAGGUGGCUCUCAGUCCACCAGGGACACUGUUUAUAAUACAGACUGUGAGUUGGCCCUCCCCACACAUAACUCCAAUUCUCCUCUCCUGGGUCUUUCUCUGUGAUAGCGACUCGGGAGAGAAAUGCUUGUUUCUUUUAGUCUCCCGUCUAGCUAGAAAUGGCUAUGAAACACAGAACACAGUUUAUAUGAUACAAUUUUUGGAAUAAACACAAGUCUGGGGAGAGGUGUUCUGGAAAAGCUUUCUAUGACAUGAAAGGAGGAACUAACGCACAUGUAGCCUUCUGCUUCCUGUCUGGAAUUCAGCCAUGUGGUGGCCAUCUUGUGAUGAAGGGGUGGCCAGCCAACGACCGUGGGUGAGGGGUAAUACAUACCACCCCUGUGCUCUUGAUGACAGCGCUGAGUGUAUUCCCCACCUAUGAACUGCCUAAUUUAUGUAUUCUUUCUUUUUUUCCACGCUGUGAAUGAAACCAGGGUCUUAAGUAAGUAGCUCAAGCUCUCUACCACUGAGCUGCAUCCACGGCUCUUGGUUUUUGGAGGCACAGUGUUGUUACAUACCCUGGAACUCAUGACUCCUUUUCCUUCCAAUCUCUGGAAUAGCAGAUGUGUCUUUUGAGCAUGGGAGAAGCCCUGGAAAGCAGGAAGAUAUGGAGGGACUGAGGUCUGGAAAGACUAGUCUGCCAGGAGACCACAGGACGGAUGAGGAGGAAAACGGUGAAAGUAGAGCAUGCUAAGAGUGCCGGCCUCUCAACUGAGAAAUAAGGAGACAGGGGAAGAGCCUGCGGAACUCAAAUAAAGGAAGAGAUUCGAGACUGUUCUUCAAUCCAUGAGGACAGUCUUUCCAUCCUUCUGUGACCACGCUCUGAAAAUUCUGUUGUGUAUCCUGGUCAAGAGACAUGCUUGACACAUCUUGGUUUUGAGAUGGUUCUUACCUAGCCGAUGGAGGAUGACCAUAUGGUGGCUCCCAUGGCUGUGUAUGGAUAGAUUUGUUCCUAUCCACUGGCUAGUCUUUUUUUAAAAACCCUGCCCAGAAGCUCUUCUACUAGUCAAAGAGUCCCAUAACAUCACAUUUACUAUGGUCUAGGUAUGGUUUUAGUGUGUUCUUCAAAGAUUCUUGGGCUGGAAACUUGAUUCCCACUGUAGUGGGGUUAGGAGCUCAUGGGACCUUUGAGAGGUAGAACCUCAUGGGAGAUCAUGACUGGCCCUUCCCUGCUUUCAGACUUCCUAACUCAUCAAGAUCACACACAUUUUUCACCAGUUUGAUACAUCUACCAUGAGGUCCCCACCCAAGCCCAGCUGAUGUCAGAAGCACACACCUGAAUCUUCAGAGCUAUAAGCAAAAUAAAUCUCAUUUCUUUAUUAAA